CCUACGGGAGGCAGCAGUGGGGAAUAUUGCACAAUGGGGGAAACCCUGAUCCAGCGACGCCGCGUGAGUGAAGAAGUAUUUCGGUACGUAAAGCUCUAUCAGCAGGGAAGAAAUACUGACCUUACGGUUAGCAGACGUUAGCUGACUACGAAGCCGCAGCUAACUACGUGCGAGCAGCCGCGGCAAUACGUAGGGGGAAAGCGUUAUCCAGGUUCACUGGGUGUAAAGGGAGCGUAGACGGUGCGCCAAGUCUGAAGUGAAAGGCCGCGGCUCAACUGCGGAACUGCUGUGGAAACUGGCGUACUAGAGUGCGGGAGAGGUAAGCGGAAUUCCUAGUGUAGCGGUGAAAUGCGUAGAUAUUAGGAGGAACACCAGUGGCGAAGGCGGCUUACUGGACCGUAACUGACGUUGAGGCUCGAAAGCGUGGGGAGCAAACAGGAUUAGAUACCCCAGUAGUC
rnacentral:rRNA from 1 species